AGUGAACGCUGGCGGCGUGCCUAAUACAUGCAAGUCGAACGGAGUGGCGCACGGGUGAGUAAUAUAUAGCUAAUCUGCCCCUUGCUGGAGGACAACAGUUAGAAAUGACUGCUAAUACUCCAUAGGAAGGGAUGAGACUAUAUCGUAUCAGCUAGUCGGUGGGGUAACGGCCUACCGAGGCUAUGACGCGUAACUGGUCUGAGAGGAUGAGCAGUCACAUUGGAACGGAGACACAGUCCAAACUCCUACGGGAGGCAGCAGUAGGGAAUAUAGCGCAAUGGGGGAAACCCUGACGAAGCAACGACGCGUGGAGUAUGACACUUUAGGGGGCGUAAAGUACGUGUGUUAGGGAAGCGGUACCUAACGAAUAAGCAACGGCUAACUACGUGCCAGCCGCCGCGGUAAUAC
rnacentral:rRNA from 1 species